CUCGUAGGCGGCCUACCAAGUCUCACGUGAAAGACCAGGGCUCAACCCUGGGAACGCGAGAGAAACUGGUAAGCUGGAAUCUCGGAGGGGGUACUGGAAUUCCUGGUGUAGGGGUGAAAUCUGUUGAUAUCAGGAAGAACACCGGAGGCGAAGGCGAGUACCCGGCCAAAGAUUGACGCUGAUGAGCGAAAGCGUAGGGAGCGAACAGGAUUAGAUACCCAGGUAGUCC
rnacentral:rRNA from 1 species